rnacentral:misc_RNA from 1 species
UAAUUCAAGCAAUGAUCAUGAUCAAGAAUGUCAAAACGAGGAGCCACGCAAGCAAGGUGUGAAUGAGGCUUCAUCCUUGACCACCUUGACCUCCGUAAAGGAUAUUUUACACUGCAGGACUGCAGGGAAACAAGCCCAACAAAACAAGGAGCUUGCUUCAAAAGUUCAAGAUAAUUCCACACUUAACUCCGGGGCUUCCACCUUGUUGAGUGCAGGUUAUUUUUGUGAAGUACAGUCACUAGUGGAUAGUGAUUUAUUCUUGUUGCCGGCGGAAUCCACAGCGCCUUCUUCUACCUUGAUCAUUGAACAGUCUAGAAAUCUGCAAUAAUUAAUAAUUGCACUCGCAUUCAUAUGAUUACCUAUACAUAUUCAAUUAUAAGUAAUUGCAUUGACUUGCUGUUUUCAUUUCACUAGCAGUGAAUGGGAAGAAUGGCAAUCGAUGGUCAUCAGUUACUUAAUGAGUUGGUAAGUAAGAGAUAAAAGUGGGUGUCAUACAAGUAAUUUAUGAGACCAACAAAAAAUCUGCAGUCAUAUGCUGGGUGUUGUCUUUCAGGGAUGUAAGCCUCUUUUCUCUUUACUUCCUGAUUGGUAAAUCUGUGAAAAAGUGACUGACUGAUUGACUGAAUGAUUGAUUGAUUGAUUUAAUGAAUGAAUGAAUGAAUGAAUGAUUUAUGAGUGAGUGAAUGAAUGAAUAAAUCAUGCUUAGCAAUCCACUUAUAUUCCUUAGGCAGAAUAGUCAGUUAACAGGCCUCUCCACAAGUCAGUCAGUCAGUCAAGUUAACCAGUGUGGAUGCUAUCUAUUAUUGAAAAUACCACUUUGUUUGUUUUAUUGUGGAGUAGCUCUAGGUGUCUACAACAGAAGCUCGUCAGCAUACCAAGCUUUGAGGGACCUGAAGAUUUUGCAACUGCCUCAUUCUAAAACUCUGAAGCAGAUAAUCAAAGAUGGCUCUGAGAAGGCUGGUAUUGAUGAUGAGUACCUCUAUGGUCAACACAAUGCCUAUGUCAAAUACCACAAGGAGAGAGAGGAGGAAGGACACCUCAGACCAUUAGGAAUUAGAGUCAUGAUGUGGUAUAAAGUCAAGAUCCAGACGAAAGUUGCAUGGAACUUGAAUGGAGGUGGAAUAACAGGAUGCUGCACAUCAGAGGAUGAGCUAAAGGUGUUACAUGAUGUGUUCAGUGCAACCAUGCAGCCUGGUGCACAGAAAGCCUCGUAUAUAGUUCAAUUUCUGUGGCACGACUUAACAUCAAGUUUUGAUUUCAUUGGUCGUUAUUUUCCAACUGGAAGCUCAACGGAUUCCAGUGUUCUACAAGAACUGGUAAUGACAACCCUUAAAGCAUUUAACAGUUAUGCAUUUAAAGUCUCCAUUCUUCUGUGUGAUGGAACAUCAUCAAACUUGACUGUAAUGAAGAUUCUUUCUGGGCAACCAAGAACACCGUUUCCUUCAAGACCUGAUGCUGAAACACUUAGGGAAAGAUUCUUUGUAGAAGCAUCCUUCUCAAAUCCAGAGGACCCAGUUGACAACCCUAUUUUCUUAAUGAUAUGUCCAAGCCACCAGGUAUUUUUUUCUUUACAACUGUAUUUUGACCAGAUAGACCAGCUUUCACCCUGAAGGUCUAUCUGGUCAAAAUAUAGGUGUACAGAAAAAAUGUUAUCUUCAUUAGUAGCUGAUUGUAGAUAUACAUGUACAUAUAUAUAAAAUAAAGUGGGAACAGAAAAUUACACAACUAAACAACCUUACUCUUCAUAAAUUUAUACAUGACAAUGCCUUCCCAUUCAACAGACAAAGUACAGUCUGCAGUGGUGCAUUAAAGGUUAAAAGAACAGGUAAUGCACUGUAAUUAUUAAUUUUGGGGUUUAUGAAUGAUCUGGCGUUGCUAUGGACUCUGUAUUAUUUUGCAUGGCUCAAUUUUCAACUUGGUUAGAACAGUUCAUACCACUGUCCUUACUUUGUUUUCUUUCAAUCAGUACAUUGAGUCUCUCUUUUUCAUUUUUGACAGGUUAAGAACAUGAUAGCUGCCCUCUAUAGCUCAAGGCAACAAGGUACAAAGGAAGUUACUAAAGACAACCACCAAUUUGUUUGGAAAACAGUCAAAACAGUGUUUGCCCGAGAAAUGGAACGGGAAGAAAAUGGACUCAGUUGCAAGGUCCCUGGACUAAAGUAUGCUUUUGUUUACUGGGACAGCUGGACACAUUUGAAUGUACAGCCAGCCAAAAUAAUUGACUUUCCUGUAAAUAUGAACAUGUUUGGCCAUACCACAAUUUCACUUGGAUAUUCCCUAAUUUUAGUUGGGACAUAUUGUGUCAUGUUGAACAAUCACACACAAGCAAAAAUAUUCUAAAAAUAAAUGGCUUAUACCAUGGAAUAUUUUUCCUAAUAUUAGAGCUUUAUUAUUAUAGCAAUGAUUUAUGAUUGCUGCUAUUCGAGAUCUUGCCAGAGAACCAAACCAGGAGGCAAGUGGGAAGACAGCAGCAUACUUAGAUGCUUGCAACCUGCUUUUUGAACAAGAACUUCUCAGCAGGCGGAGGGUCAACAACAGAGACAGCCCAGUUCUGGCCAAUAUUAAGAGGGAGAUGUCUUUCUUUGAAGAAUGGUGUGUUGCUCAUGAUGCUACAGUAUACACAGACAAUUCCAAGAAAGCCUGACAGAAGAAGUUUUAAGCAUGGCAGGUAUAUAUUGGUCUGGCUUAGAAUUCCCUUCAUAAAAAGUUUUGUUUCAUUAACAACUGACUGAAGGAUUCUUGCAAGUCAGCUAUCUGACGUGUUUAUAAAUAAUUUACAUAACUGUACAAGCAUACAACUGACUGGAUAUCCAUUUCAUCCUUCACUAAUUUUCUAUUUCUCUUUUUUAGACCUGGGAUCUUCUACGCCUUGUGGUCAAUGGCUUUCUGUCAUUCUGUGACUUGUUGUUGACAAUGUUUCUCCAAAUGGCAAAUAUUUUAUCAGUCCACUCCGCGUAAAUGGAAGUGCUAUUGAAUCAAUUUAUAGCUUCCUCAAGUUUUCCAGUGGAGGGAAUUUGUCCGCCCUAUCCUAUGGUUGUUCUCUUGGGAAACUGAUCAAUAGGAAAGGACAUGAUACAGAAUAAAAACUCUAAAACGGGUUAUAGGGAUGUGGUUUUGAAUAUUAGUGGCAAUGCUGCUGCUAAUGUUGCAUGUUCCACAAGCAACUUGGUGAUACCUUGUCUAAGUCUGUCAAAUUGCCUCUGCAUUUUCGCUUUCCCAACAAGCAUUUCCCAGUCCACAAUUGGAGAUAGGUUUGGUAGCAGUGCAUGUACCUUAAUUGCAGUGAAAUUUGGGUCUUACUGUUUCAAGAAUAAAUUAGAUUUGUCACUUCUCUGGAAUCAACCUCCAGAUAAGUGGUUGAAUUCCUUUGUUAAUGCCAUAUGUGAUGGAAAUGAGGUUUAUGAUGAGCUGUAUAGUAAUACUGCUGUUUAUCUUGAUGUAGAAGAUGCUGUCAAUGCAGUAGGGGGUUUAUUUAGUGUAGAGUCAGCUGAUCAAAUAUUUGCAUUUGCACUUUUGACAGCAUUCUGGUAUGAAAUUUAGCUCUUAGAGGAACUGUUGGGUCUCUAAAUCUAAAUAGAAUCACUGAAGGAUAGCUCUGAAAAGAAUUGUUAAAUUUUAGCUCUGAUAAGCACAGUUAAACUGUUUGAGCAUGCAGUUCAUAAACAGAUUUCACCAACAAACUGCUUAUCAGACAGGCACCCAGGACAGAAUGAACAUUAAAAGUUCAAAACUGAAAUCCAAAUGCAUUUGCUUUGUUUUUUUUUUGGCAAACUGAAAAAUUUCCGCUUGUUCGGGAGUGAGAAUUUCACGCAUAUGCACCAUCAAAGAAUAAAUUUCACCUUUCAAUCAUUGGUUCCAAGACAAAAGUUGUAUUCAAAAUGAAAGUUAACAGAAGUGAAGAAAAGGCCAGUGCAUCAAAUGUCCUACUACCAACACUACUUUACAAUACAAAACAGCGAAUGGCACCUAACUUUCCAGAUUUGACAUAUAUGCUCCGAAUGCAUUCGCAGGGUUUCAAAUAACCCAUCAAGCAUUAACGGUUCCCGGUGAAAUCUGAUGCAGUUUACUAUCACACGGUGUUGAUUUGCAUAUAGUUCCAUCCCACCCCGACCGAGUACUGUUUUUGUCAAGUGGACACGGUUGCUAAGCUUCGAUUUUCAAAUCUGGUAUCCUCACCGUUGGCUAUAUGCAUGAUGCAGCAGCGAGAGAGGCAGAUUUGAGCUGGUAAACGUGUGAUUUUCAGGCCGUUGCGAUGAGAUUUGUGAACCAAUAAUCGACAGACUGGGAAGCAAGUUAUUCACGCUUUGGCUGAUGGUGAUUUGAAGCAGUCACGUUCAUUCCUUGGGAAUAUUUUGGCCUUUGCAGUAUCAUGGUUCAAUUCUGAGCCAGCCAGGCUUAUGUUGUUUCUAGUGGGACACACCACCAGCCCUAACGUGCUGAAAAUACUUCAAAACAGCCUCAAACACCGUGAAACAACAAAGAAUACGACAGGAAAGCAAGGUAACUCAGUUUUAUUCACAGAACAUUAAAUUUUAGGUAUUUAAAGCAAACCAGUAAAGUUCCCACACAAACCCUUGUAAAUUGCAUCUUUGUAACACAAUACUGCUCAAAGGCAAGAGUCAUGGUUGCGUAUGUUUCAUUUACAUUAACUAUUUCCUCUCAUCUCGUGUGCGGGUCACCUGUGGAAAAACAGAAAUUCAUCAUCUUCACAACAGCUUGCUUCCUGUACCACCAAAUUAUCAGCAAGUUCCUCUAUCAAUGAGAGGACAGCUGCAUCACACACAACGGCCAUCUUGUUUUUAUUUUCAAAUUUAGCACUUUUGUGCACUUUUGCAUUCCACUGACACCUGCUCAGCAAUAUUUUGCGCUUACUGUCAUGGUAACUGAUCAUACAAACCAAAGUCCUGUUCCUUUGGUACACCGUGAUCCGAGUGAUCUUGGAUCAUAAAUCCUGAUCCUGAUCCUUCCAAAGGAAUGCAACCAUAGUGUAUUAUCAUUUGUCUCACAAGGCAGUCACUUGAGAUGUAAACUUGAUCUGCUUCAAACAAACUUGAUCUGCUUCUAUGUAACUUCUCCGAAGUCAUAGACCUGUUUCUACAACUUCUCCUUUGCAAAAUGAAUUUCCCUCUGACCAUUAUUUGGUGGACUUUUUUAUCCGACUGAAAUUCAAGCGAUCAAAGCGUGUGCUCUGUAAUACUUACGACUACAAAAGGGCAGAUUUUGAUGAUCUGCGAAGUCUCCUACAGCUGCUACCUUCUGACAUGUUGCACUCCGACGAUGUUGACAUCUAUUGGUCUUGGUGGAAAGAUUUAUUUCUAGCAGCAGGUGUUGAAUGUGUCCCAAUGAAGACCAUUAGAGACACCAACUCUCCUCCUUGGAUAGACGGGGAAGUUAAGUCUGCAUUACGCAAAAAGUACCGUGCCCUGAGGAAAUAUUGUGAAAACAAAACCGUGGAACGGAAGCUAAAGCUUAGAUCUUUAAGCAACGAAAUCAAGAAACUUGUUCGACAAAAACAUCACGACUAUCUCCUUAAAAUUUAAGGCUCUUUAAAGGAAAACCCUAAACUAUUCUGGAACUAUCACAAAGCUAUCCUACAUCAUCGACCGGGCUCGAAUACUGAGAUCACCUUUGACGGGAAAUCAGCAAAAACUGUAGCCGAAAAGGCUGAGCUUUUUAAUGCUUAUUUCUGCUCUGUGUUUACAUCAUCCAAGGAGGACAAAGCAUGCAGUCUGCAAAUGUAUCCCAUGAGAAUAAAUAUGGAACUUUCUGAGAUCACACUAUCUUUCAAUGAGGUGAGAGACUGCUUGUUUAUUUUGGAUCCGUCAAAAGCCACUGGCCCCGAUGGAAUUCCUGUGCAUAUUCUUAAAGAGUGCAGUGAGCAGAUCGCGCCAAGUCUUUGUUCCCUAUUCAACCAUUCUCUGCGUACAAAGUUGGGGAAAAUUGCAAUAACUUGAAACAUAACCCAGUCGCAGAUCUGGUCAAAAUGGUCUGGGUCUGGUACAAUUUGUGCAGUCAACCCGGAACAUCAGUCAAAUGACAGUUGAACAUAAUCUACUGUUAGUGAGAUAAUGUGAGUAAAAGGUUGUGACUUCAGUUGAAGUUCCAAAAUGUAUAUAAAGCCAGGGAGACCAUUGAGUUCUUGGCAAAGUAAUUAAAGCACAUCAAUGUUUUUUAAGAUUUCUUGGUUACCUUUUUGGUUUGAUCGGUAAGUGCUUGCAGUGAGGAUUGAGUAAGGAAGCUUGAGUAUUCUGAAGUACAGACUUUCAUCGUAGAAUUUCAAUACUGAUAAACUAAGUCAAUAAAUUUUAUACCUUUUUGAAAACUCUGAAUCAAUGCUCUUUUAAUUAAGCUGUGCAAAGGUGAAACAUUCAUGUUGUGUAGUGACACCGCAUAUAAUAGGGUUCUCUUUGAGUUUAGAAUUCUGAAGCAAAUUUUAUGACAAUCUUUUCCCACAUAUAGAGACAUAUAAAGAUAUACACUGUAGUACUUGAGUAAUGCAAGGAUUUAAUGCAACCAAAAAAAUAGUUCUUAGGUUAUGGGCAUGCACUUCAAUGUUUCAAAAAUGUAAUGAGGAGCCUCAGCACUAGGUUCAUCCCAGGUUGCCCAUUUAAAAUUCUCUUUCCCACAAGCCUGCUAUUAUUCUGAAAAUAAUAAUUGUCCAUUAAAUGAAGAAGACAAACCUUUUACUUCUGCAGUUCCAGUCAGAGAAAUGCAGGCCUUGAGGACCGUGGUCUCAGUAUCCCCUGUCAGAAGGACAACUGGACACAAGCCCCCAGCCUGCACAAUCUUCUCAUACCCUAGGCUCAUUACUGUUCCACCAAGAGCCAUAUGGGAGAAGUAAUGGCGACGUAAAGACAUGUGUUGCUGCCGCCCACCAAUCUUUCUGCUCUGCUUUUGGUAAAUGGCCGUUUUUUUCAGUCAGUUUUUGAGCAAAAGAAAAACCAUAUCCUCAGACCGUUCCGACGAAUCAUCUCUUUCGCCAGAAAUCAAAAAAACGAAGCCAUACUCCUUGCCAACGUAUCACGAAGACGAAAUAAUGACAGCUCUCAGUAUGACACAAGAUGUUGGUGCAACUCUACAAGCAAUCUUAGCAAAGCUGGAAAAGCUUGAUUCAAUAGAAUCCACCGUGAAGAAAAUUGAAGCCAAUCUCGAGAACUUAGAGAAACAAACCCAAAGGCUAGAAGAUUUCCAAACAACAGCGAAGAAAGAUAUUGACGAUCUAAAAGAAGGGAUCAACUUUACUGGACAGCAACUCAAGGAUAAGACAGAAGCUAUGGAGAAGGCACAUCGACUCUAUGAAACUCAAUUAGCAGAGCUCACGACAAAAUGCCAGAAAAAUG